GAUAAGCAGGGUACCUAUCAGAGUUGGUAGAAGUCGAUCGGAUUUCAUCAAUGUUGACUUCAGAAACAGUGGGCGUCAUUGAUCCUAUUGAGACGUGUAUAUCAGUCAUGUGGCCAGCGAUCUUUUCCCGAAGCUAGCUAGCCAACAUUAAAGACUCAAGCCAGUGCAUUAAUGAUGGCAGGAAAUAUAAUGAUUUCACAAUACCGAUCCUCGCCUCAAUAA
rnacentral:lncRNA from 1 species